CAUGCACACUGUGCGCACACACACACACACAUGCACGUUAUACAUUGAGCUGGACAGGCUUGGUUUCAGCUAGUAUGGACACCACUGCAAAGCACAGGGCUGUUCCCGGCAUAAUUUCUCACAACUGCCUCCUCAAGCACUUUCUCUCAUAUUUCAUGAUUUGCUUGAAAACCCAAUACAGUUAGGAAAAAGAUGUGCAUAAGCGAAGCAUAAUUAUAUUGAUUCAUGUUCAGCUGAUAAAGAUUUAUUUGUCCUGAAGGCAUCAUAAUGGCCAAGAUUUGACCACAAUCGAUGACUCUUGGGCCAAUAAAUCCUGGUAUUGGCAACAAAAGCCAAUAUCUACUUAAACUUUUUUCAAAGUGUUGUUAUAAUAUGCUGAUGGCAUGAGACAUGGCGACACAUAAAACACAAUCUCUGGAGCUGUCUGGUGACACUGGAUUUGUAACUCCCCGAGUUAACAUUCUAGAUUCCUUGGCUACAGGCACAAACGGAUAUUCCAGGCAAAGCUCCCAGUGAGAACUGACAGCCAGCGAUACCUUUCUAGAUGGGCAAACACGGGAUUGAUGGAAAUGCAGUGUCAAAGCGAAGCUGUUGUGGAGAUGUGAAAGUGUGACUGUGGGUCUAUGGGUUGAAUCACGCCACGUGACUUGCAAAAAUGAAAACAAACAUUUGUAGAAAAGGAAGGACUAGAAACAACCAAGAUAAGAAAUGAAACACAUGGGGAAAGACAUCGAGGAAAAGAAGACUGACAGCAUUCUCAGGCUCCUAUCCCGUGUCGGGCAGAGAGAAGACUAACGUAUCUUUCCGUCAGGUUGUUGUUACUGUGAUAAAACACCCGAUGAAAGACCUCAUGGAACAAGGUGAUUAUUUUGGCUCAGAAUGUCAGAAGUUUCAGUUCACUAUCAGCUGACUCCUUUGCUGUAGACCUGUGGUGAGCUGGAAACAUCUCAGUGGAAGCAGUAUUGGAGCAGAAGUUCCUCAUCCCAUGAAAGCAGAGGAAGCAGAAAGGGGGACAAGAAAAGAGUCUGGGGACAAGAGAAACCCAUCAAUGGCAUGCCCCCAGGGACCCACUGCAUCCAGUUAGGCCAUGCCUUCAGAGUUUCCACCGACUUCUCAUCAUCCACUCAUUUAGGAAUCCAUCAGUGUACCAAUUGAUGGAUCGAUCCAUUGGUGGAUUCCAUCAGGGUUCUCAGAAACUGAUCACUUCCCAAAGCCCAUCACUGGCAACCAAACCCACGAGCCUUCUGGAGGAUACUUCGCAGCCAGCUACAACGGUGGUUAAGGCUACCUUGAUUCACAAAGCAAUUCCCUCAAGCACGUGCUAGAGCCAUGCAGAACAGCUGUUCUUGCAGAAUGAGGUUGCACCAAGGAACCCCAGUUUUGCAUGGCAGAGCUAAAAUGUGAAUCCAGGACUGUCUGAAAUGUAAGAGACUAAUAUUACAGAGACAGCGGGAUAAGCAGCUUUUCAUUUUCUUACAUAUAAGAAGAUUCUCACAUCUUUCAUCAAAUGUCACGUUUUAGGUGGAAACUUUUUCAGGCUAUUUCAUCAUUUAGCACAACCUCUUUUAAAUGCUGAUUAUUGCUUUUAGUUAACCAUGUCAUAUAUAGUAAAACAUGAGAAUAAACAUAUGUACAUAUAUGUGCUAACACAUACCGACGUAAUUUUGUGUUAAACCUUUAGUAACAUAAAAAUAGCAUGGUUCAAAUUUUGUUGUUUCUUAUUGGGUACACAUUUAUCUUGCUUAAGGCUGACAAUUAUCUUGUUGGAUCAAAAGAUUGGCCACUUUAAGUGGGUGUCAGUAUUCCCCCCCCCAUCCAGAUUGCAGAUUUAAAACACUAUAUUUUUGCUGCACCAAACCAAUCAUUUCCUCCAAUUUUCUACUAAUUUUUAUAAAACAAAGAAGCAAAGCCUGCAAUUAUUUUGAUAUCUUAGUCCAAACAAGCUUGGUGGCACAGACAAAGGGGGACGCAGGGCUGAAAGAGACCUGUCAGCCGCCAGGCUGUGCUGCUCUGUGGUGGCUGACUGUGUCAGUUUAGGACUGACAUCUGACUCUAAUGGAGCAGGGGGUAUUUCAGGGGAUGUAUAGAUUACACCAAAUAAUCAAAUUGCUCAAAAUGCAGCUCUUUCGAAGGUCCGUUUUGUGUAUGAAAGCAGUGUAUAUAACCAUAGAUACGUUUGGCAAGGGAAGAAAGGAAAAGUCAUAUUUUGAAAGAACGUUUUCCCACCUAAAAAAAAAGUAGAUGAAAAAUUUCAGGUUCAGAGAGAGAGAGAGAGAGAGAGAGAGAGAGAGAGAGAGAGAGAGAGAGCGCCAUGUCAUUAUUCUGAAAAUUUUUGUCUCUCAUGCAUUAAAUAAACAUGCCUGAUUUUACAAUUAAUUACAAUUCCCCAUCCUCCAGGCACUUCAGAUUCCUCUAGUCUUCCUCCUGCAUUUACUCUCAGAAAAAAGAUAAUAGAUUUAAGAAUGAACUCUUGUAAAAGUCAUCAACAACACACGGAAGGUAUUUCAAACCCAGCUAACAAUCGAAUUCCAUCCCACUUACCCUGAAUCACACCAUCCAGUGAAUAGCAGUGUCUUGAUGGAUCAUUCAUGGAAAACUAAAGUAAUUACCAUCAUUCUAAUAUUCCUAUUUAAAUGCAUGAAAAACUGAUUAGCUGAAGGCAGCCCUAUAUAUAGCAGAAAUGGCAUCUUCUUAAUAUUUAUGCUAAUGUGAAAGACAUUUUACACAAAGGUUAGAGGUGACAUAUGGGUAAGAAAUGAUCUUAACAUACACAUUUAUUUACUUACAAUAAUGCGUGACACGACUAGGACUCCCUGAGAGGGAUUUAACAGGCACCGAAGAAUAAUUUAAUACGAAAAUAAUACACACGCAUGGGCGCAGACACAUGCAUUCAUGUAAGAUCUGCCAAAGCUCAUACCGCAGUGGAGCAUGUAUGCUUUCAGCCUGAGAUAGUCACCUUUUGAGGGAGGGGGGCUCAAAGAGAAUUUCGAUAGAAAUUGGGAAAGUUUUAAUGAUUUUUGGGGUUCUGUUCCUUGCCUAUAGAGCACUAGAGAAGUGUUCAAACGAUGCCAUUUCAAACCGCAGCUACUAUCUAGAGAGAGAGAGAGGAGCGAGGAAAGCGGCCUGUAAAUGCCACACGAUUUGCACACUUCCACAUGACUAACCCGCAGACCGAAUACUCUUUCUCUACCAGCUUCCUAAGCACACUCCAAGGUGAGACGCCGCAGAAACAGUGAAUAACAAUGAGCCCAUCUCAGGCCGUCCCUGAAGAACAAAUAAAACAGGAAAUUAAUAUGAAAUGUGGACUCACACGAGCGGGGCUAAAAAUGGGUUACAACCGAAAACGGAUUUCAAACAAACCUCUGAUUUAAUGACAACCUAAGCCAGAGCCUGAUUGAGGGCAAUCAAAUGCCUCUCUCUUUAUCAGCUUCUAACUCACUUUUUUUUUAUACCAAAAGAAUAAACGGCUGCUGCAACGUCAGCUUUCUAAGGCCGCAGCAAGCUCUGAACACAGGAAAGCUGUUUCCACAAGCAAUUACGACACAAUACACCUCUAAGUAUGGUCAAGUGAACAGGUAACCAAUAGCAACUUCUUACUCAGCGGGUUGGGGCAAACUCACCAGAAAGAGGGUGUUUGCUUUCUAUGGGUGUAUUCUAAUUGUGCCUGCCCUCAACCGGGAAAGUGCGGCCCGCAAGGAAUAUGACUUUCAGAUUUCAAAACGGAAUCAACAGCCAGACUUACUCACCCACUGGGAAAGAGGCGACAGAUGGAGAUACUCUAAGGAUAUGUUCUCCGGAAGAUCACUCCUCAGGCAGCUGCGUGUGGAUAAAAGCUGGGCGAUUGCUAUGGAUUGCCGAGUGAUGAGACAUUGCAAGAACUGAACUGUUAAGACGAUUCUGCCUUUGUGGGAACGUCCCUGAGUGAUCCCACUUUAGGAAGACCCCAAAGGGGCAGCUCAGCUACUGAGGGUGAUCACUUGAUGCAAUCAAGAGACAUUGUGAACAUACGUGAGACGGAUCCAGUCGCAGCUGGCCUACUAUGGCAAAAUGUGUAAGAGUGAAAUUUAUUUCCUGAGUAGAGGGAGUCUACUCUAAAAUACUAGUAAUGGGGCAGGAGAGAUGGCUUAGAUAUUCAGAGACAAACUACAUCUAGCAUAUGUGAAUUUGGUUCCCAAUAUCCAUAAAAGGGAGCCCACAACUGAUUUUAACUCUAGAUCUGAUGCCCUUUCUAACGGAGAUCCGCACUCAAGCAAGCAAGUACCACCUUGACUACACACAUGCAAACAGAAGGAAGUCUUUAAGAACAAACAAAACACACAAAACAUCGCUAGUAUAUAUAACCCGGUCAAUGCACAACCUGGUAUCAUGAGCAUUUAUUAUCAAAUAUCACCUUCUACAGGGCACUGUGCACGCUAAGCUGUUCACUACAGAGAUUCUGCUAGGUUUGUUUACAAUCACGUCAGCGCAGGCAUGGAAAAAUAAUCAUCCCCCACAUUACAGCAGGUGAGAGGAAACUGUCACGUCUUUUAAUAACCUAUGGAGCCGCUGUUGUAGAUGAGAUCUAUUGCCAGCUGAACGUUACAUUACACAGCAUGGAUGCACAGUUUAUGUGCAUGGGCGCUGAGGUGAGCCGGAAAGGCACGGAAGCUAUGCUGCUCAUAUCCUCACAUCUUGUCUGCAAAGAUGAGUUUAGUCUUGCUCACUUCACAACAGAAUGAGGGACGGACAGAGGAGAGACUACACUGACCAUUCAUGUACCCCAUUCUUCUGGGCAUCAGGAGUGAGGUGACCUUCCCUCUCACCAUAAACACCUCUCCGUCUCACACCCCAGUCACUGGACCAACUUCCAAGCUUUUGUCUUUUGAUCCUUCUUUUCUUUUCUUUUUUUUCUUUUCUUUUCUUCCUUGUUUUUUUUUCUGAGAGCUUUCUGGGUCUCCCUCAGAUCCCAGCCCUCCAUCCCACAUAGGAUGUCUGUUUCGAGGUAAAGAACAAACAUUUUCAAGCAAAAGCAUAAAAAACUCCGUUUCCUUGGUAACUUGGGCAGGGAAAGAGAAUUUACCGUGCUCAGAACAGUGACUAGAAGCAGGCAUAUUCGUUCUCUGCCUCGCUCCUAAGGCUUUCUAUUCAACGCGAGGCAGUGUUCCCAAGCUGCCCCACUGUAGCGACACGUUUAAAGUUAAAUGGCAAGUGAAACCUGCCGCUAAGUUUAGCUUUCCUGCUGAAAGCCUUGGGAGAGAUUAUUAGUUCCUUCUGGCGAUAUCGGGCCCCUUCUUUUCCCGCACCUAUCAAACGGCCUUGAAGCUUUAGUUCAUUUGAAAUAUUGUACGGUAACUGCACACAGCGUACUAAUGGGCUUCGUGGAUUAAUGGAGCAACUAGUUGCUUAAAUUUAAUUUUAGAGUCGUUCAGAUAAAGACUCAGAGAAUUGGUGCUGAGGUUAGGGAUGGAACCUACUGAGCUAUGUCUGACUAGGGAGGAGGGGUUCCUGCCUCUGGACUCCUACACAGGAGGAGAUUCUAUUUGGUGCCUAUGGGUAGCCAAAGGGAGUCCUGGCAUAAGAACAAUGUGUAUGUGUAGAGCACUAUGUCUCCCUCUGAUCUCAGGGUCGGACUCCAUGUAGGUACCGGCUGCUCAGAACUAAUAUACUUUCACUGCAAAGGAAGAGAACUUCCCUUAAAGCUAUACCACCAGUCUAGCAAGAAGCAUCAAAUUGGAUCUUACGUGGAUCUCAGUGUCCCAGCCGAGCUUCCCUGUUAACUCCUUUUUUGUGAUACUCCGUAGUGAAUUCUUAAUCAUAACCAGUCGUUGCGCCCUAUUCUAGGUUACAAAACUCAUGGGCACGAGCAGUCUUAAUGGAUACAGCAUUUGCUGGGUUUACUAAGAAUUGACAUUUGUUAAAAUACUAAAGGCAGCCUGGCAUGCCAGUCCAUCAUCCCAUUCUAUGCCACCACAGCUAGACGAUAGCGCUUCCCUUAGAUUUUUCUCAGUUCUUUUCCUGGUGUGCUUCUCUCCGGCUCCCUUGGUAUUCAUGCUGAGUCCAGAUUGUCCCAUAACAGAAACAUACAUUCUAUGCCAAUAUUUUACCACAGUAAUAGAUAAUAAGCUUCUCAAUUGAUAGAGGAUCUCUCUGUAGAGAACUGAAAAUCUGAAGAUAACUCAGGUCUAGAAGGUGGGGUUUCAGAUUCUAAAAGAAUAAUGUGAUUGGGUAUUGUGUUAGGGCCACCCAGAGAGAUAAAAGCCGUAAGUGAUGUGUUCAGCUGUAGGAGAGUUCCUCAGGCAGGGGCUGAUGACUAUGGACUGUUUUGAAGCCCCAUAAUAGAUCACCUGCAAGGCAGAAGCCCUGGAUACCAGCAACACGAUUUAGUUCAGAUUUAGAGGACUCUAAACCAGAGAAGUCAAUAAUGGAACUCUUAGUUUGAGGCCCAAGGCCUGUGAAUCUGGGGAGGAGCUAAAGAUAUAGUCAGGGUUCAAAGGUCAGUGGUCCCAAGUUCUGAUGCCCUAGGGAGGAGACAAGCAGACCCCGCCCCCCCCACCAGCUCUCAGUGAAAGAUGCUAAUUUCCUUUAGCGCUUGCUCUCCUGAGAGCACUGUAGGUUGAGUGCUGCUGUUCUCAGUGAGGGUGGAAUUCCUCCAGCUGGUUUGCCAUGUAAGUCACAUGUAACUCACAUGUAAAAAUACUAUUGUAGACACAUGCAAAUAAUACCGUUUUUCCAGUGUUAUAGAUGAUCAUUCGGAUAGCCGUCUAAAGUUCUUGAACCAUGUUGCACGGUAAACAGUCAGAGUCAUAAGGAAGUCUGAUCCACAUGUGAAGGAAGACAAUAGACCAGUCCUUUCUCUUAAGCUAGGAGAAACAGAAGACCGAUUUCCUCCUUCUGUUUCUACAGAACCCAUCACUAGCUUGCUCUCCUUUAUUGGCAUGAUGGUGGCAAAAUUAUUGAAUCUUGCAGAAGAGAAGGGGCAGAACUAUGAACACAUAAGAACUGGUUGGCGGCGGGGAGAGCCCACUUGUUCCAGGGAGGAGUAGGAGGUUGUUCAGUUUUGGAAAAUCUAGUAUCUGGAGCAGCGCCUGGCUCACUAAAUGCUUGCUAAAUGGAGAAAUGAGUGAAGGGUGGGAGGGUAGGUAAACACAUAGCUUCCACUCGAGUGCUGUAAAAGGGACAAUCUUGACUAGGCAAGUCUCAAUGAAGGCACAGGUGACCCCUGUGGUGGCAAGAGCCACGGAUAACUGCCACUUCUGCUUUGAUAAAAAUUUGGAAUAAAAAUACCAAUUAAUUCCCUUUUAUUUAUUUAUUUUUGUAUGUCUCUGGUUCCCUAAUACCCAGUAAUUACUAUGAAACAAAGUCUGGUAGCUAUCAGCGUAUCUCAGCAGAUAAUUUACCAAUCUCGCUCUCUUCCCCACUCUCUACCUAUCUCUGCCUCUAUCUCAGCUUUCUCUUGUGUUUAUGAGAUAGGAUCAUAUCAUGUGGCCCAGGCUGGCCCAGGAACUCUGUAAGCAUUUGACAGGCCCUCGCUACCACAACUGACUUUAACAAUUUUAUCUCAAAGAAGGCAGUGACAGUUACGCAUCUCGUCAACCUUUUCCAGAGCGGUACUUUUCAAGAUUGAAAAACUAUGGGACUUUAAGUAGAGCUGAUGGCACUUUAAGGGUAGUUAGUGGAACUUUUAGAACCUGACUUUUGUCUUCAGGCUGGAUGUGAUAGCACAGGCUCAUAACCCAGUACUUGGAAGUAUCCAUCCUAGAUCAUUUAUUUGUUGUGUUUUUCUGUGUAUACAUGUGUGUGGGGAGCACUUGCUUUGAAUGUACUUACUAAGACGAGAGGUUAUUGCUGGCUGUCUGUCUUUCUCAAUUGCUCUUCAUUUGUUUGAGUCAGUUGUUUUGUUUUGUUUUGUUUUUUUUUUUGCCAGGGCUCUCACUGAACCUAGAGAUCACUCUUUUGGCUACACUGCUUGGCUAGUGGGCCCUAAGAUCUGCCUGUUCGAGAACCUCCAGUACUGGGGUUAUAAGCUUUCACUUCGUGUUGGACAUUGCAAUUCAUGUCCUCACGCUGUACAACAAGCAUGUUCUGAACCGUUUGCUCCUCACUCUAGACUGGUUUUUCUUGUCAAGCAGGUAUUCAUUUAUAAGGCAUUUUCUUUUAGCUAAAAAGGCGAAUGCAUUCCAAUUUAUUAUUUUCCUUUUAUACACUGCACUCUUCGUGUUAAAUGUAAGAGCUCUUUACAUGGCCCUAAACAUCAAGGAUUUUCCUUUUAAAUUUAAUAUUACCUUUUCCAUUUAUGUUCAUAAUCUAUUUUUUCUAUUUGCUUUUCAUGGCACAGGAGACUUAUGUCUGGGUUCAUUUUUCUUGCAUGUGGACAUCCAACUGCUUCAACACUAUUGCUGGAAAAGGUGUCUUUCCUCCAGUGAAUGACUUUUGCACCUUUGUCAAAAGUCAAUUGUACAUGUGUGUGCGUGAGUCUAUUUCAGGCUCUCUGUUCUGAUCCAUUGAUCUGUCUGUCUAGGAACGGACAUCUUUGCCUUCUUGCUGAUCUUAACAGGAAAGUAUUCUGUGUCUCACAGCCAAGUACAACCUUAGCUGAAUGCUUUACUGGGUGAUCUGUACCAGGUUGGACAUAUUACUCUCCAUUUCUAUCAUCUUCAGAGACUCCUUUUAAAAACCAAGACUUGGUCCGCACUUUGGCUAAAUGCCUUUCCGUAUCAAUUGUAGUUUUUCUUUUCAUGUAAUUUGUUCUUCUUUGGCCCAAGAAUAAAGUUGGUUAUAUUGAGCCUUUUCUCUUUUGAAUAAACAACCCAACUUGCUCGUGAUGUUUAACUGUUUUUAGAUUAUUGGGAUCAUUUGUUAAUAUUUUGGUCUGAAGUUUUAUGUAACUAUGCUAAACAUUGAUAUAUAAGGUUCUUUUUAAAAUUAUUUGUCUGGUUUUAAGAUAGUGCUAGAUUCCUAAAAUGUCUUGGGAGGUGUUUCUUCCUUGUAUUUUCUAGAAAAUAUUUUGAGUUGCAUUCAUGCUAAGUCUGUAUAAGGUUUUUGAUGGAUUUAACAUUUGAGUAGUGGUAUGAUCUUGGUGACAGGUGGUGUUUAUUCCUAUCCCUAAGUUGGUUCUCCUUCCAGUUGUUCUAAUGAGGACUGAUACUAUCUCCUCAUUAGAGUCUUCUUGACAUCUCCUGCCCAUUCUCCCAGUUUUGCUUUUACCUAUUUUGUGACUUGCAGCUCCUUUAGCUAGAAUCCACUAUUUCUACCCUGGAGCCUUGCUGGUGUAGUAGGUGAGAGGAGAGGUUUGGUAAUAACAUGAAUUAUAGUUUAUGAUGAGUAUAUGCCCUUAGCUGUGUUUGUGACACAGAGAGACCAGCUGGGCUGGGAUUCUCUGGUGGGAGUAAGAAUCAUGCAGUGCAGUUAGCAAAAGCCUUUCUGCUCCUUUCUUGGGCCCUUGGAUAGGAAGGCAUUAGUUGGUACAGUUUUGCUUCUAUUGUACCCAUUGUCAUUUACAGACUGCUAACUUCUCCACCAAUAAAUAUGAAUAGAGGAGAAAGAAUGAAGAUUCAUGAAAUUCAUCCCCGUGUCAUUUCUGUGGGUCCUCAGGCCCCACCGUGUCCUUCAUUGUCUUCUUAGGAUUGACUCAUAUGCCACAUAUGAGAGACUUAGGUUUGCCUAACAGAAGAAAUGCGUUCUGUGUAUCCAACUCAUAUCUCCCAAUGCAGACUUUCUCUUGUUAUACCUUAUAAAGAUUUUAAAUGUCCACUGUGGCUAAAAGCCAAUGUGACAUCUCCUUCGGUACUAUAUCAUUAUUGAGUCUAUAAAAACUGCAACAUUCAGGGGGCUAGAGAGAUGGCUUAGUGGUUAAGAGCACUGGCUGCUCUUCUGUAGGUUCCCAUGAUUAAUUCCCAGCGAUGUCAUUGCAGCUCGCAACCAUCUGUAAUAGUAUCAGAUGCCCUCUUCUGGUGUGCAGGCUCUCUAUGCAGACAGAGCCUCCAUAUACAUAAAACAAAUAAAGAAACCUUUAAAAAAGGAAACCGAAGCAUUCAAAACUGUUUUAUUACGUAUGCCCAUCACUGUCCUCUUAACUGACCAACUGUUGUUUAUCAAAAUAGCUUUGUCUGUUAAAGCGAGACACAGAUAUUAUAGAGUCAUUCUCUGUGCCCCAAGGCGACAUCCAGGUAAAGUCAAAGUUGAUAUUUGUGCUCUGGAAGUUGAUAAUGCUAUAUAUAAUUUCCAUCUCAUUGUUGUUCCACAGUGUGCUUAUAAGUAAAAUUUAACAAGCAUUUGUACAGCGAGCGUCUCUGUGACACCGAGGAAUGAGGAAAUACACUGUGGAGAAGGUGGCUCUGGAACAUGUUGCAUUGUCUAGGCGGUCUUAGGAUAGUCGUAGGUUAUAGUGCACACUCAGCAAACAUCCGUGAGUGUGGGAGUGAAUCAAUAAAGACGCCUUUGGGAAUUUGAUGAAGGCCAUUUUCCUUCCGAAAUAAUAAAGCUGUGGCUAAGACACAAAAGAAAUCUGCAGGACUCUUACGGGAAUUCGUAGUUAUGCGUAGGUAUCUAGUUUAUGUACUCACACCUGAAAGUGGUUUUGGCUUAUAAAUCUUACCUUAUCUUUGUCUACAACUACAUAUACUGAGUUCCAGAGGGAGGGUUUUUUUCCAAAGAGUCUUUUUUCCCCCUCAAGUCAUACAAAUCAUGAAAAUAUCAAUCAGGAAGUCACUGCACUUCAGCUCACUGAAUAAAUUAGCUACUACUGAGUAAAGUUCCCAUAUACACUGAGAAGUCAUACUUUCAAAAGCCAUUCCAGGGUAUUGCCAUCCUUGGCUCUACUUUUAAAUACACAAUGAUCCCUCUCAUUUACAGCUUCCCUGGUCUCAGGACAGAGUAUUUUUCAGUGGCAGAGACCUUUCAAGCUAAAAGUCACACGAGAUCUGUAAAUUAAGGUCAACUGAUGGGCAGAGGAAACAGAGAAGCAGGCUAUGCCUUAGCUUAGGCAGGCAGUCCAUCUCUGUCUGGCAACUGCAGGCCAGCUAAACAACUGUCCUUCUCCAUGAGCAGUUACAGCUGUUUUAAUCAGUUACCCACAUACAUGCCAUGCCACAUAAGUUCAGCCAGCUGGCCAUGGUGUAUGCCUUUAACCCAUCACUCAGGAGGCAGAAGCAGGCAGAGCUCUGUAAGUUGAAGCCAGCCCGCCUGGUCUACUGAAUGAGUUCCUAGACAGCCAGGGCUACACAGAGAAAUCUGUCUAGAAGAACAAAACAAAACAAAGCAAAACAGAACAGAACAAAACCAACAAUGAAAAGAAACUCUUUAGAUCACUGCAGAUUCUUAAAAGAAAGAGAGGAAACGAAUUGGGAUGCUAAUUUGCUAGAGCAGAAGAUACAGAAGAUGAAAGAGACAAGGGGAAAACCUUGACUUUGUAGAAAACUAAGAUUUCUUGCAGUCAUGAAAGAAACACAUGGAUUAUCUCUUGACCUUCUGAUAUCUUUCUACAAAUGCAGCAUGUUCCUAGGGAGUGGGAGUAGUCUUCUCAUUACAAUUUAUAAUUUCACAGAUCCUUCCUACCCUUCCUUUCUAACACAAGCAUUUGAGUAUGUUCCCUCUCCUGUGCCUGACUUGUUUCUUUUCAAAGCAUUUGGCACCAUGUAGAAUACUACAUGGCUGUAAUCUAUCCUGUCUCACAGAGCUGACUUCCCUGUCUACUGCUGUGUCUUGAGGGCCUGAUGCUGCAGGUCUUCAGACAAUACUUGUUAGAGUAAUGUUUGGUUAGAUGGUGGCUUAAGGAAAGAGACAAUGGUUGCAAAUACAUGACAACUACCUCCAACAAUUAUACGGCUUUUAAUCAAAGGGAGACAG
rnacentral:sRNA from 1 species